AGAGUUUGAUCAUGGCUCAGAAUCAACGCUGGCGGCGCGCUUAACACAUGCAAGUCGCACGAGAAAGGGGAGCAAUCCCUGAGUACAGUGGCGUACGGGUGAGUAACACGUGGAUGAUCUACCUUCUAGUGGGGAAUAACCAUGGGAAACCGUGGCUAAUACCGCAUAAGCUCGAGAGAGGAAAGCAGCAAUGCGCUGGAAGAGGAGUCCGCGGCCGAUUAGCUAGUUGGCAGGGUAAAAGCCUACCAAGGCAGAGAUCGGUAGCCGGCCUGAGAGGGCACACGGCCACACUGGCACUGAAACACGGGCCAGACUCCUACGGGAGGCAGCAGUGGGGAAUCUUGCACAAUGGGGGAAACCCUGAUGCAGCGACGCCGCGUGAGCGAUGAAGCCCUUCGGGGUGUAAAGCUCUUUCGGCAGGGAAGAUGAUGACGGUACCUGCAGAAGCAGCUGCGGCUAACUACGUGCCAGCAGCCGCGGUA
rnacentral:rRNA from 1 species